AAAGUCGUAACAAGGUUUCCGUAGGUGAACCUGCGGAAGGAUCAUUAUUGAAUAAACUUGGCUUGCUGAUGCUGGUCUCUUCGGAGGCAUGUGCUCGCUUGUCAUCUUUAUACUUCCACCUGUGCACUCUUUGUAGGACUGGGAAGCAACUCUAUCCGAGGCAACUCGGGAUUUUGGGACUGCUGUGCGUCUUAGCUAUGCCGGCUUUCUUUGUGCUUUUCCAGGGCUACGUUUUUCACAUACACCAUGAAUUGUAACAGAAUGUAUCACUAGGUCUUUGUACCUAUAAACAAAUAUACAACUUUCAGCAACGGAUCUCUUGGCUCUC
rnacentral:misc_RNA from 1 species